rnacentral:rRNA from 1 species
UGCUCAUUGGCCCGUCUUCCUCCUCCGCCUCCCCGUCUUCCUCCUCCGCCUCCUACACUAUUCCUCUUCCGCCGCUCUCCAUGCCCUAGGCCUAGAGGCUCCAUCCAUGAGAUGUGGUCUCAGUAUUAGGUAGACGACGACGGCGGCCGGUGGCGCUCCCAUUCAUGGCCGGCGAGCAGAAGCUGCAACUUCCGUCGCGCCACGAGGACGGUUGGUUCAUCAUAUGAGGAGGUGUAUGCAUGAUGGUUUGGAGAAAGGAGGUUGCCAUUGGUACUUGAGGCCGUCAAGUUGAGGAAUUACGUUGGAUUGGUGGCACUCCAACUCACAAUCCAAACCCAACUCGAGUUCAUCUCCCCUUAUUCCUGUCCCACCCCACCGAUUAUACAUUUAGGCGAGCGGAGGGGAACCAACUAGGGUUUGAACUGCAUUGCUUAAAGUGGCACCAUCCAGUUUGACUUGAAUUUUGGCUUCUGUACGUAUGGUGUUGGUUCGCCUCUCCAUAGGUUUCUACCUCCCGGAAUUCAUCUUCCUGUUGCCACAUAAUUACAUCAAUUGUUAUUGGAAAAUCAAUGUAUAGAUCCAUUGUUUCCCUCUAUAGUGCACAUGCUCUUAUAUUUGUUUUUGGACUGAUUCUUCCAUCGAUUUCUUGCUAUGUUUGGAUAACUAGAGUAUCUAAUUUGAAAUUAUCCAGUCUUCUGUAUGUUCACUUGCAUAGAUGGCUUAAUCUAGAACCUAAACUGAAGACUCAAUAUAGCACAUAUACUUGGCCAGUUAUCCUAAGAAUAUUAAUCCACCUGGACUUUUAACUUGACUUCCAAAGAAGUUCUUAACUAUCAAGCAUUUUUGAGUUUUUAGUAAACUGAAAUAAUGUUGCACUCUGACAAUACUAUUCUGAUUUUGUAAGUUAAUAGAAAUCCUUCAAUUUCAUACCACUUUUACAUUUGGAUGAUUGCGACAUUAUAUCUUCUCUGAAUUCCGCUUGCAUGUUUCCAGUUGAAACAGUAACUGAGUUUGAUAAGUAACCACUAUAUUAUUUUCUAUGUGUAAUUGGCAUGUACACAUGUUGUCGCUCUGCUUGAGUCAUCCAUCUCCACAUUACGAGCCUGAGACUUCCAUCACAACAAUCUAUAUGUAUCCAGGUAACAUGGAGUCUGCUCAUUUGUAACUGCAUAGGGAUAGGAACAGACUCCAUGUAAUUACAAAUGAGAACAUGGAUUCAGCUUAAGUUUGAGAAAGUGGCGGACAAAAGAGAACUGGACUAUUGUUGCUGAGCGAUAGCUCUGGCCGCAUGAUCAUCUAUGUAUAUAGUUUUUAACAAUAAAUGUAUCCUGAUUGGUAUAGCACAAUUGGAAAUCUUACUUUCUUCUGAUCUCUUAAUUUCAAGAUGAACUGGAGAGGGGAAUUUGUACUAAGUUUGGAAUCUGGCACAGUAAGUGUGUAUUUGCGGUAUUGAUGUAUAGUUAUUAAGAAAGUUACAUUUUUCCAG